UAUAUAUAUAUAUUAUAUACAUUUCAAUUCGCUUGACCAAAAGUUAUAAAAAAAGGAAAACGUUUUAUAAUUGUGUGGAAAAUAUAUGCAAUUCAUUUCGCUCGAGCAAAAGUUAAAAAAAAAAAAGAAAAAAUUGUGUUUUUUAUAAUCUCCUAGACAUUCUUUUGAUCUCUGAGACAAGUGGAUUCUCAGAGGAAAAACAAAAGAUGAUGAUAAACGCAAUUUUGAAUGGUGAGGAAACGUGACGUCUCUGAGAUUACAUUUUCCUGUAGGAGAAAGUGUUUUUCUUCAAGUGCCAAAAGUGAAGGGUGAAUCUCCAUGCUUUUCCCUUAAGGUAUAAGGCCAUGUUUGUAUGUGUGUGUCUUUGCCAUUAGCCCAAGCUGUGGAAAUUUGAGCGAGGUAAUGUGCCAUGCAAGAAUUGUUGCUGGAUCAUCGAGGAAUAUGUCCACUGUGGAAAUUUAUUCAGCAGUAGUACGGUUUUCCUUUACUUAUAUCUAGACCUGUAGUGGCAUUUCAGCUCAGUGUGUUGGUGAUUUAAGGAGCGUCUAGACUCAAGACUCCUACGUUUCUCCAAAGUUCUCUCCGCCUAAUCUUUUUGUAUCCUAAG